rnacentral:rRNA from 2 species
UACGUAGGGAGCGAGCGUUGUCCGGAUUCAUUGGGCGUAAAGAGCUCGUAGGCGGCUUGGUAAGUCGGAUGUGAAACCUCCAGGCUCAACCUGGAGUCGCCAUCCGAUACUGCCAUGGCUAGAGUCCGGUAGGGGCCCACGGAACUCCUGGUGUAGCGGUGAAAUGCGCAGAUAUCAGGAAGAACACCGGUGGCGAAGGCGGUGGGCUGGGCCGGCACUGACGCUGAGGAGCGAAAGCGUGGGGAGCGAACAGG